rnacentral:rRNA from 1 species
GUCUUUUUGACUUAAAUAUAAAGUAUAACCUGCCCAUUGAUAUUUUUAAAAGGCUGCGGUAUAUUGACCGUACAAAGGUAGCAUAAUCAUUAGUUUUUUAAUUGAGAACUUGUAUGAAUGGUUGAAUGAGAAAUGAACUUUUUUAAUAAAAAAAUUGAAUUUUACAUUUUAAUUAAAAGGUUAAAAUGUAUUUAAAAGACGAGAAGACCCUAUAGAGUUUUAUAAUUUAUAUUUAAUAUUAAAAAAAAAUUAAUAGAUAUUUUUAUUUAAAUAAUUAUUUUGUUGGGGUGAUGAUAAAAUUUAACUAACUUUUAUUUUUUUUUACAUUAAUAUAUGGGAAAUUGAUCCACUAUUAGUGAUUAAAAGAUUAAAUUACCUUAGGGAUAACAGCGUAAUUUUUUUUUUAAGUUCAUAUUAAUAAAAAAUCUUGCGACCUCGAUGUUGGAUUAAGAUUUAAUUUUAGGUGCAGAAGUUUAAAAUUUAAGUCUGUUCGACUUUUAAAUUCUU